GACUACAUAGAUAUAAUGAUAACUUAGAUCAAAUUGUGUUCACAAAAUGAGCAUUUUCGCUUAAAAUUUUAGAAGCAUUGACUAUGAGAUGUGCAUUAAUGGAUUCUACCCGUGAAACGGUUAACGUAUGCUCCUGUAGCUCAAUUUCUACUAAGAUUCGAUCUUUUUUUCACUCCAAAACCUUGUGCACAGUCACUGCUCCAUUCCUAAGUAUCGAUGUACGGCGAAGAGAUUUAUUUAAAGCUGACCAGUAGCUUGAGAUGGAAGUGAGGUCAAGGUGCGGUCUACCCGGACAUUGUGCAUUGAAUGAUAAGGAAGACCAAGAAAACAAUGGAUUAAUGAACACUGUAUUAUAAACUGAAGGUCUUUAGCCUAAUAGCCUAACGCCUGCUUCAUGUCCUUGUGAUACUUUGCACUCAUCGAAAGUGAAAAAGUAAUCAAAUGAAUGUUUACAACCCCCCCCCCAUAUCAUUUUUUUUUGGUUCCCACGAAGAUCUCCACAAAUAGAACUCAAGGUGGUUUGUGAUAGGUUAUUGUUUGGACUCCAGGAUGUAAUUUAUUUCUAUGUCUGACUAAGUGUUGACUGUUUUCAACAGGUGCGGGUGGGGAGGGGUAGGAACAAGGACAUGCCUUAUUUCUAUUACAACCUUCAGGUCCGUGUCUAAGUUUGUGUUGUUUUGCUAAUGUGUUUUCUUGGUCUCUGUGUGUGUCUGUAUCAAAGAAAGUGAUUCACCCAAGAUAUUGCUCUCAUCCCAAGCUGUUACAACCCAGACUGACGAAUUAUAUCUACAUGAAUUAGAAUAAUUUGGACAUUGAACUGCAUUGUUAAGUCCACACAAGCCACAAUCUAACAUCAACAAACCUUACCCUUCCCCCCUUUUUUUUUCUCAAUGCCAUCUGACAGCUUUCAUUAUGACAUGUAGUGAUCUAUUCUUCUUUUCCAGAAAAGAGUUAGCUUUUGGGAAAGAUUGUUAUUAGACUUAAAUUUACAAGGAAAAAAUGUUCAACAUCAAAGAUGGUCUCAUUUUUCAGUUUUAGCUGGUGCCAUAUUUAGACUUGAAAAGGCCCUAAGUUAUGGGCUUCCAGAUAUUAUAUGUCAGUGCUAAACAUUUCUUGGGGACCCAAUUGAUUGUGUUACCUAUAAGUAUAUCGGACCUUGAUUUUCACGUUUUUUUUUAAAUCUAUUUAUUAAUGAACUGCUAAAGAUAUGGUUAUAUUCUAAGCUCAACCAGUAAAUUACAAUGAUUACAAAGCUUAUAUUAAAUCACUCUGUCUGUCUGUCUGGUAAAAAUUUUGUAUACGUUAUUUCUCCCACACCCAUUCUCGGAUCAAGUUGAAACUUCGCACAAUUAUUCAUUAGUAUAGAUAGACCAGACAUUAAUCAAUUUAAAAAAUACUAUUAAACUAUUAAUUACUGGUAAUGAAUUAUUUUGUUUGAUACCAACAAGGGAAACUGAUAAUUCAGUAUUCACAUAUAUAACUAAAUUUGUUGGGUUUAGUUCCCUUAAAUAAUUGUUAACGCUAUUUCUCCCUCACAUAUUCUUCGAUUAAGUUGAUACUUUAAACAAUUAUUUAUUGCACCUAACAAAACAUGAAUCAAUAAACAAAAGUACUCAAUAAGUCAAUUAAUUAUUGGUAAUUUAUAAUUUUGUUUGAUAUCGAAUAAGGGAAAACUGGGAAAUAACUAGUACAUUAUUGAUACAUAUAGUUUUAAGGGCGGAGUUCUUACAUUUUAGAUAACCUUUUUUUUUUAAGUAUUAAGUAUUUUUUAUGUUUUUGUUGUGCAGCUCUGAAUUCAGUUAUGUAGCACUUAUGAUUUUAUAAUUAAUUCAAACUUGCGUAUUUUUUUCUAUCUCUGUGUAUCAUUUUUGGCAGUUUUCAAUGUUAGAACGCUCGACUGCUUCAUUAUCUGCUGCUAUUAAAAUACAUGUACUUAUAAUAAAAUUCAUUAUCUUACAAGCAUUGAACAUUUAGCAUGGAUGAGUCUCAUUCGAGUGCACAUUCUUUGAUGAGUAAGAAUACCAAAGCAUAUAUAUUUAUAUAGGUCUGUGACAUUAUAGAUAUAAUCCUUUUGCAACGGCUUGUGUGACUAAUGUGGCCAAUCCUUGAUACUCAGCUCUGGUCACAGGCUGGACAUCUAUAAUGACAUAAAAACUAAAGAAUAAAUUUGUGAAACAUU